rnacentral:rRNA from 1 species
GACGAACGCUGGCGGCGUGCUUAACACAUGCAAGUCGAGCGGUAAGGCCUUUCGGGGUACACGAGCGGCGAACGGGUGAGUAACACGUGGGUGACCUGCCCUUCACUCUGGGAUAAGCCUAGGGAAACUGGGUCUAAUACCGGAUAUUCACGCAUCUUCGCAGUGGGGGUGGGUGGUAAAGUUUUUUCGGUGGGGGAUGGGCCCGCGGCCUAUCAGCUUGUUGGUGGGGUGAUGGCCUACCAAGGCGACGACGGGAGCCGGCCUGAGAGGGCGACCGGCCACACUGGGACUGAGACACGGCCCAGACUCCUACGGGAGGCAGCAGGUGGGGAAUAUUGCGCAAGUGGG